rnacentral:rRNA from 1 species
AUUGAACGCUGGCGGCAGGCCUAACACAUGCAAGUCGAACGGUAGCACAGAGAGCUUGCUCUCCGGUGACGAGUGGCGGACGGGUGAGUAACGUCUGGGAAACUGCCCGAUGGAGGGGGAUAACUACUGGAAACGGUAGCUAAUACCGCAUAACGUCGCAAGACCAAAGUGGGGGACCUUCGGGCCUCACACCAUCGGAUGUGUCCAGAUGGGAUUAGCUAGGGGGUGGGGUAAUGGCUCACCUAGGCGGAGAUCCCUAGCUGGUCUGAGAGGAUGACCAGCCCCACUGGAACGGAGACACGGUCCAGACUCCUACGGGAGGAAGCAGUGGGGAAUAUUGCACAAUGGGCUGAAGCCUGAUGCAGCCAUGCCGCGUGUACGAAGAAGGCCUUCGGGUUGUAAAGUACUUUCAGCGGGGAGGAAGGCGGUGAAGUUAAUAACUUCACCGAUUGACGUUACCCGCAGAAGAAGCACCGGCUAACUCCGUGCCAGCCGCCGCCGUAA